rnacentral:rRNA from 1 species
UACGCUUGUUGGUGAGUAAUGGCUCACCAAGGCGACGACGGGUAGCCGGCCUGAGAGGGCGACCGGCCACACUGGGACUGAGACACGGCCCAGACUCCUACGGGAGGCAGCAGUGGGGAAUAUUGCACAAUGGGCGAAAGCCUGAUGCAGCGACGCCGCGUGAGGGAUGACGGCCUUCGGGUUGUAAACCUCUUUCAGCAGGGAAGAAGCGAAAGUGACGGUACCUGCAGAAGAAGCGCCGGCUAACUACGUGCCAGCAGCCGCGGUAAUACGUAGGGCGCGGAGCGUUGUCCGGAAUUAUUGGGCGUAAAGAGCUCGUAGGCGGCUUGUCGCGUCGGUUGUGAAAGCCCGGGGCUUAACCCCGGGUCUGCAGUCGAUACGGGCAGGCUAGAGUUCGGUAGGGGAGAUCGGAAUUCCUGGUGUAGCGGUGAAAUGCGCAGAUAUCAGGAGGAACACCGGUGGCGAAGGCGGAUCUCUGGGCCGAUACUGACGCUGACGAGCGAAAGCGUGGGGAGCGAACAGGAUUAGAUACCCUGGUAGUCCACGCCGUAAACGGUGGGCACUAGGUGUGGGC